CACUGUCUGAUAAUGACUGGACGUGCACUCCUAAACGCCCAUGCACACACCCGCACACACACGCAUGCACCUUACACUCUGAAUACAAGCAUUAGUUUAAAUUCACUGAUAUGGUGGCAGGCCAAAAAGAUUUAUUAAAAGCAUGAACAUGUGAAUAAUUAGUGACAUUAGGCUACAUUUUGCUGACAGGACACGGGCUGAAUGGCGAUGCAUGGUGGCCCAUUCGGAGUAGGUGAAAAGGGCCACAGAAGCAAGAACUACUGAACCUACCAACGAUCUGCAGAAGGUGGGACAAGGAGAUUAGUUGAACAUGAGAGCAUUCAGAAGGAGGUGGUAUGAUGUGAGAAGAACAGGGCCAUACCAGACGACUCGGACCCAGACAAGGCCGCAGCUUGCUGAACACACACACGGCGUUGCCUGACAGCACGAGAAAGCCCUCACUCGUCCGGGAAGC